UGCCCCCUACGGGGGGCAGCAGUGGGGAAUAUUGCACAAUGGGGGGAACCCUGAUGCAGCGACGCCGCGUGAGUGAAGAAGUAUCUCGGUACGUAAAGCUCUAUCAGCAGGGAAGAAAAUGACGGUACCUGACUAAGAAGCCCCGGCUAACUACGUGCCAGCAGCCGCGGUAAUACGUAGGGGGCAAGCGUUAUCCGGAUUUACUGGGUGUAAAGGGAGCGUAGACGGCACUGCAAGUCCGGAGUGAAAGCCCACAGC
rnacentral:rRNA from 1 species